rnacentral:rRNA from 1 species
UCCGUAGGCGGGUAAUUAAGUCAGAGGUGAAAUCCCACAGCUUAACUGUGGAACUGCCUUAGAUACUGGUUAUCUUGAGUUUUAGUGAAGUAGAUAGAAUGUGUAGUGUAGCGGUGAAAUGCAUAGAUAUUACACAGAAUACCGAUUGCGAAGGCAGUCUACUAACUAACAACUGACGCUAAUGGACGAAAGCGUGGGGAGUGAACAGGAUUAGAUACCCUGGUAGUCC